UACGUAGGGUGCGAGCGUUAAUCGGAAUUACUGGGCGUAAAGAGUGCGCAGGUGGCCGCGCAAGUCGAGUGUGAAAUCCCCGAGCUUAACUUGGGAAUUGCGCUCGAAACUACGUGGCUCGAGUGUGGCAGAGGAAGGUGGAAUUCCACGUGUAGCGGUAAAAUGCGUAGAGAUGUGGAGGAACACCGAUGGCGAAGGCAGCCUUCUGGGCCAACACUGACGCUCAUGCACGAAAGCGUGGGGAGCAAACAGG
rnacentral:rRNA from 1 species